CAGUGGGCAGACGCCGUGCAGCAUCCGGGGACCAACUCCAGUUCGUCUUGCCAUGCCUCGGUCCGGGGCACAGACAGCAGUACUAACCGUAACAUGCAUGUCUUUUUUGAUGAUGGGGGAAACCGGAGCGCCCGGAGAAAAGCCACCACAGACACAGGGGGAUCAUGCAAAGUCCACACAGAGGACGAUCUGGGAUGACCCCAAAAGUUGGACAAACCCUGGGGUUCGAACCCAGUACCUUCUUGCUGUGAAACUUCUUUAAUGCCAUCCAUUCACACGCACUGGAUAGGAGAGGAGCAUAUAACAAGAUCUCUGUCUGUUUCUUUGGCUAUUUCUCUAGCAGCAAGAGGUAAGUCUUCCAGUUUUUCUUAGUACAUGAUGAUGCUGGUCGCGUGGCUUGGGUCCUGGACUGCUCCGUUGGCACGUGGACACUGCUUGGCAUCCUGGGCAUCAUGUUCUUCAUAAAUUUUAUGUCCAUUAUAAUUCUGUUAUCCUCUUUCAAUGUUGUAUUAUGUAAAUUGCAUGAACACAACAUCCAUUGCACGCUGUCCGUCUUGGGAGAGAGAUCCCUCCUCUGUUGCUCUCCCUGAGGUUUCUUCCUAUUUUUUCUCCCUGUUAAAGGGGUUUUUUAGGGAGUUUUUCCUUAUCCGAUGAGAGGGUCUAAGGACAGGAUGUUGCGUUGCUGUUAAGCCCACUGAGGCAAAUUUGUAAUUUGUGAUAUUGGGCUAUACAAAUAAAAUUGAUUUGAUUUGAU